GCCCCAAGAUCCCCGACGCUGCCCCCCCAAUGAGCCGACAAUAUUUUCCUUAUAUGAUCGGGCCCCACCGAAGGCGGUGCCGCUUGCUGGAGCCCGAGAGGAUUAUGAAAACGUGGCGAAGUGGGGUCAGGGGACUUGGGC